AUUGAACGCUGGCGGCAGGCCUAACACAUGCAAGUCGAGCGGAUGAAGGGAGCUUGCUCCUGGAUUCAGCGGCGGACGGGUGAGUAAUGCCUAAGAAUCUGCCUGGUAGUGGGGGAUAACGUCCGGAAACGGGCGCUAAUACCGCAUACGUCCUGAGGGAGAAAGUGGGGGAUCUUCGGACCUCACGCUAUCAGAUGAGCCUAGGUCGGAGUAGCUAGUUGGUGGGGUAAAGGCCUCCCAAGGCGACGAUCCGUAACUGGUCUGAGAGGAUGAUCAGUCACACUGGAACUGCGGCGCGGUCCCGACGCCUACGGGGGGCAGCAGUGGGGAAUAUUGGAGCAUGGGGGGAAGAAUGCUCCAGCCAUGCCGCGUGUGUGAAGAAGGUCUUCGGAUUGUAAAGCACUUCAAGUUGGGGGGAAGGGCAGUAAGUUAAUACCUUGCUGUUUUGACGUUACCAGCAGAAUAAGCACCGGCUAACUUCGUG
rnacentral:rRNA from 1 species